rnacentral:rRNA from 1 species
AUUGAACGCUGGCGGCAGGCUUAACACAUGCAAGUCGAGCGGGGUGAUGGUGCUUGCACUAUCACUUAGCGGCGGACGGGUGAGUAAUGCUUAGGAAUCUGCCUAUUAGUGGGGGACAACAUCUCGAAAGGGAUGCUAAUACCGCAUACGUCCUACGGGAGAAAGCAGGGGAUCUUUAUGACCUUGCGCUAAUAGAUGAGCCUAGUCGGAUUAGCUAGUUGGUGGGGUAAAGGCCUACCAAGGCGACGAUCUGUAGCGGGUCUGAGAGGAUGAUGCGCCACACUGGGAGUGAGACACGGCCCAGACUCCUACGGGAGGCAGCAGUGGGGAAUAUUGGACAAUGGGGGGAACCCUGAUCCAGCCAUGCCGCGUGUGUGAAGAAGGCCUUAUGGUUGUAAAGCACUUUAAGCGAGGAGGAGGCUCUUUUGGUUAAUACCCAGAAUGAGUGGACGUUACUCGCAGAAUAAGCACCGGCUAACUCUGUGCCAGCCGCCGCGGUAA